CACUCUCAAAAGGCAUCUAGUUUAGGGAUAACAGGGCAGCCUCAUCAAUCUUCAGUUGCAACAAUCGGUGGACGUAGUAUCUGGUUCUCUGCCUCUUCUCCUCUAUCUCUCUGUGAAUCUCUCUAUCUCGCUUUCUCUCUCUACAUUCCGGAUCUUCUUGUUGUAACCUGGGCUUAGAGUUACAGUGAGAACUCUUCUCUCUCUAACAUCGGUCUGGUUUCCCGUCAUUCUUUGAUUCUGGAAAAUCUUCUACAAAAUGGACCGUCCAUGGAUAUCUCAUUUUGGUUCAAAAUGUUUCGGUGAAUUUGAAUUUAAGUGAAAAUAACUAUUGAAAUUUCUCCUAAAUUUGUUUAAAUUUUUUGUUAUUUAUAGGGAUUAGGUUUAAUUUGAAGGUUUCUGAAAAACCUCUUGGUGGAAAUCAAACUCUUAAGCUCAAGAUGAUGUGGUCGGCGGGAGUAGUUUCUCUUCCUAUGAAUCAAACUCCCAUGCUCAAUGAUCUUCAUACAGCAGCACCACUGGAUCAGUAGUAUUCUAUCCUUCACAACCGUCGCCUGCAGUUUGAGAUGAUGUCAACAAUGGUGGGAGGAGCACCAGGGAUCAUAGCAACCGUUGCCUAUUGAACCACCAGCAUUUAAUUCUUCAUAUGAAGAAGACUAUAAUAUUUAGAUUGUAUCAGGAAUAGACCAUCAUCCUAUGACAAUGAUGUUGGGAUUUAUAUGCCCUGGCAUAGCAAAUUCCUAUCUGAAUUAUAGUGACAUAUGUUCCUGACAUAUCUGAAAUAUUUAUGAUUUAUAUAAUUGGUG